AUCAACCACUUUUUAAUACAUGCCGAAUACUGUAUUCUGUCUCCCCCUCCCCCCAUGGCCCACUGAAGAACAAAAUAGCCCUGUGCCCUCUGAAGAACUGAAGCCCCUUGUCCUCUGCCCUCUGAAGAACAGGACAGCCCUGUGCACCUCUGAAGGGCUCUGACCACUACAAGGACAGCCCUGUGCCCCUCUGAAGAACCAUUUAAUCUACUGGCACAUUGAAUGUUUCCUCUCCAAGCACUUCAAAUCCUGUCCUGUCCUUAGCGGAGGAGUUGGGCUCUUCUCCAACAUCAUCCAUCCAUGAUUAACUUUUUUCUGCACUGAAGCCUCUGAACACCUCAACCCUGUCCUGCACUGAAGUCAAGCCUCCAAACACCUACUCAUGCCUCAUACAAUCACUGCUGCCCUUCCCAACAGUGUAAGAUGCUCUCAUUCCUAUUCCCCAUAAUAGUUUACUAUAAAUGUCUUUUAUAAACAUUUUCGGUUAAAAUAAUUUGUCUUUGAUGAUUUUUCAAAUGCGCUUUGUUGUUCGGUCCGAGCCUAUAACGUAGGUCUUCCAUCCUCCUCACUCUUUCAAGUCACCAGCCUCCACUGGUUUCUAUACAUGAGGCCAUCUUGAUCUCGAUGUCCAGCCUGAGGAAGAAAAUCGCAGCCACAUUUCCAGACAAGGCCAAAGGUUCGUAACAGGAAGUGGCCACUGACAAACCAUCACUGAAAGGAAGUCAAAAGGACUAAUAGUUCACACCUUUUAUACACUUCUGGGAUCAAAUGAAUGGACAUUCUGUACCAUCAGCAUUUUUUAUUCAAGGAUAGAAGAUCACAGCACAAGUGAAGAACCAUAAGAUGUUCUUGGAGGUACUCCUUGUCUUUUGUAUCAGGUCAGUAGGUGUGUUCCAUCUAUAUCCACUGUUACCCUUUUGUCUUAUGUUUCUACUAUCCCCUGUGUAUAGGAUUCCAUGCGAAUUUAAACAUGUACAUGCAUCUUUUAUCAAACGUUAUUUGUUCUCAAGACACACAUUACAGAACAUUCAUGAAGAAUAACAAGUCAAUCAGCACAAUGCUAACAAUAAAUAACGCAAUACAUUCUUUUGGAUCGUUCAGACUCCAACAGCUGCAUGCCUCAGGAUGUCACAGAGGUAAAGGGUCAAAGAUGACGAGACAAUGUUUGUGUCAUGGUUUGACAGGAUAAAACAAACUCUGCAUCCAGUACAGCACAGUUGUGUGAAUGCCUUAAUCUCACACACCCCUACAUUCAACAGGAACGUUAUGAUUCCAUUGGGUUGGCACGAGCCAACCUACAGUGCUAUAAAUGUAAGCUUAAAGUUUUCUGUUGGUAUUUUUACUGUGUUAAGUGAAAGCCACACAAGGUUGGAUUGGAUAACGUAAUGCAACAAACAUGUCACUUAAUUUGAGCCAUACUGUCUAUAAGCAUAUGUCUCUGAAAUGAAUUCCUUUAACGUCUAGGAUAAUACAAUCUCCCCUCAGUAUGAGAAAGUUGAUAUUAUAUUGUAUUAUAACAUUUGCUUUUGAGGACUUUUUUAAAACAAACAUUAGAAACAUGUAAAAAUAUUUUUUGUUUGUUUAUAUUUACAUUAAACAUCAGUUGCCCUAUAAUUAGAAAUGUGUUUUUUAUUUUACCAAACUAGCUA